UAGGAAAUAGAAUCUCUCUCCCCAUGUAUUUAUUACGGCUCUUAUCUUAUUUAUUAGUAAAUAAAAUAUUCCCUCUUCUCUCCCCUUUAUUAGGUAACAAAAUCAGAGAGUUGUGUCUCCUCUUUGGUCUUCUCUCCCAAAGUCCACAAUUUGCUCUAAGAGAGCUCUAAGAGCUCCCUUUCUCUGUUAUUUCUUUGGCUCCAAGUUAGCUAGUGUAAGGUUUCUUAUACAGUUCUUUAGUUUUUUCUUUUCCUAUCCAAUGAUUUAAUUUAAGGUAUGAAAGGACCUCAUGGCUUCAUAAUCCUCAAUCGGUUGAAGAAGUCUUUAAGGAUUUCAGAUGAAGGCACGUUGGGACAAUCAAGGCUCUCACCACUGAUGUUGAGAAAUUCUUUCAAUAAUGUGAUCCUCGUGAGUUCUAUUUCUUAUAUGGGAUUAGCAGGAUUUUGGUUUUAAAAAAAUAAUAGUGACUACAGUAUCAAUUUGGUUUAUGGAUGUUGUUAAAUUAUAUAUUUUGAGUAUUUGAGGGUUGCAAUUACUCAGGUUUCACUUUAGAAUUUGCUGGAUCUCAGAUUCAAAAAUAUCUCCAAUUCUAUCCCUUAUUUUAUUUUCAUGCAA